rnacentral:rRNA from 1 species
CCUACGGGAGGCAGCAGUGAGGAAUAUUGGUCAAUGGCCGGGAGGCUGAACCAGCCAAGCCGCGUGAAGGACGACGGUGCCAAGCGUUGUAAACUUCUUUUGUCAAGGGACAAAAUCAGGCUCGAGAGCCUGACCGAGGGUACUUGAAGAAAAAGCAUCGGCUAACUCCGUGCCAGCAGCCGCGGUAAUACGGAGGAUCCAAGCGUUAUCCGGAUUUAUUGGGUUUAAAGGGUGCGUAGGCGGAUUGAUAAGUUAGAGGUGAAAUGUCCGGGCUUAACUCGGGAACUGCCUUUAAUACUGUUGAUCUAGAGAGUAGAUGAGGUAGGCGGAAUGCAUGGUGUAGCGGUGAAAUGCUUAGAGAUCACACAGAACACCGAUUGCGAAGGCAGCUUACCAAUCUACAACUGACGUUGAGGCACGAAAGCGUGGGUAGCAAACAGGAUUAGAUACCCUUGUAGUC